rnacentral:rRNA from 1 species
ACGUUAAAGACGAUGACGUUGAUAGGCCGGGUGUGUAAGCGCAGCGAUGCGUUGAGCUAACCGGUACUAAUGAACCGUGAGGCUUAACCUUAC